GACGAACGCUGGCGGCGUGCCUAAUACAUGCAAGUCGAACGCAGUGGGGACGGGUGAGUAACACGUGGGUAACCUCCCAUCAGAGGGGAUAACACUUGGAAACAGGUGCUAAACCGAUACUGAUGGCUGAACCCGCGGUGCAUUAGCUAGUUGGUGAGGUAACGGCUCACCAAGGCCACGAUGCAGAGCCGACCUGAUAGGGUGUUCGUCCACACGGGGACGGAGACACGGCCCAUAGUCGUACGUGAGGCAGCAGUAGGGAAUCCUCGGCAAUGGACGAAAGUCUGACCGAUCAACGCCGCGUGAGUGAAGAAGGGUUUCGGAUCGUAAAACUCUGUUGUGAGAGAAGCGGUAUCUAACCAGAAAGCCACGGCUAACUACGUGCCAGCAGCCGCGGUAAUAC
rnacentral:rRNA from 1 species